rnacentral:rRNA from 1 species
UAGGGAAUAUUGGACAAUGGGCGAAAGUCUGAUCCAGCAACGCCGCGUGUGCGAUGACGGCCUUCGGGUUGUAAAGCACUUUUAGAGGAGAUGAGAAAGGACAGUAUCCUCUGAAUAAGCCUCGGCGAACUACGUGCCAGCGGCCGCGGUAAAACGUAGAAGGCUAGCGUUAUCCGGAUUUAUUGGGCGUAAAGCGCGUGCAGGCGGUUUAUCAAGUUGGAUGUGAAAGCUCCUGGCUUAACUGGGAGAGGUCGUUCAAAACUGAUAGACUAGAGAAUUGUAGAGGGAGGUGGAAUUCCGGGUGUAGUGGUGAAAUGCGUAGAUAUCCGGAGGAACACCAGUGGUGAAAGCGGCCUCCUGGGCCAUUUCUGACGCUAAGACGCGAAAGCUAGGGUAGCAAACGG